UGCAGAAGAGGAGAGCGGAAUUCCACGUGUAGCGGUGAAAUGCGUAGAUAUGUGGAGGAACACCAGUGGCGAAGGCGGCUCUCUGGUCUGUAACUGACGCUGAGGUGCGAAAGCGUGGGGAGCGAACAGGAUUAGAUACCCUGGUAGUCCACGCCGUAAACGAUGAGUGCUAGGUGUUAGGGGGUUUCCGCCCCUUAGUGCUGCAGUUAACGCAAUAAGCACUCCGCCUGGGGAGUACGGCCGCAAGGCUGAAACUCAAAAGAAUUGACGGGGGCCCGCACAAGCGGUGGAGCAUGUGGUUUAAUUCGAAGCAACGCGAAGAACCUUACCAGGUCUUGACAUCUUCGGAUGUCCCUAGAGAUAGGGAGUUCCCUUCGGGGACCGAAUGACAGGUGGUGCAUGGUUGUCGUCAGCUCGUGUCGUGAGAUGUUGGGUUAAGUCCCGCAACGAGCGCAACCCUUGAUCUUAGUUGCCAGCAUUCAGUUGGGCACUCUAAGGUGACUGCCGGUGACAAACCGGAGGAAGGUGGGGAUGACGUCAAAUCAUCAUGCCCCUUAUGACCUGGGCUACACACGUGCUACAAUGGAUGGAACAAAGGGCAGCGAAGCGGCAACGCAUUAGCAAAUCCCAUAAAUCCAUUCUCAGUUCGGAUUGCAGGCUGCAACUCGCCUGUAUGAAGCCGGAAUCGCUAGUAAUCGUGGAUCAGCAUGCCACGGUGAAUACGUUCCCGGGCCUUGUACACACCGCCCGUCACACCACGAGAGUUGGCAACACCCGAAG
rnacentral:rRNA from 1 species